UACGUAGGGUGCGAGCGUUGUCCGGAAUUAUUGGGCGUAAAGAGCUCGUAGGCGGUGUGUCACGUCGUUCGUGAAAACCUGCAGCUUAACUGUGGGCGUGCGGUCGAUACGGGCAUCACUGGAGUUCGGCAGGGGAGACUGGAAUUCCUGGUGUAGCGGUGAAAUGCGCAGAUAUCAGGAGGAACACCGAUGGCGAAGGCAGCUCGCUGGGACGUUACUGACACUGAGGCGCGAAAGCGUGGGGAGCAAACAGG
rnacentral:rRNA from 1 species